rnacentral:rRNA from 1 species
AUUGAACGCUGGCGGCAGGCCUAACACAUGCAAGUCGAACGAGUGGCGGACGGGUGAGUAAGGUCUGGGAACCUGCCUGAUGGAUGGGGAUAACUACUGGAAACGGUAGCUAAUACCGCAUACCAUCAGAUGUGCCCAUAUGGGAUUAGCUAGUAGGUGGGGUAAUGGCUCACCUAGGCGACGAUCCCUAGCUGGUCUGAGAGGAUGACCAGCCACACUGGAACUGGGACACGGUCCAGACCCCUACGGGAGGCAGAAGUGGGGAAUAUUGCACAAUGGGAGCAAGCCUGAUGCAGCCAUGCCGCGUGUGUGAAGAAGGCCUUCGGGUUGUAAAGCACUUUCAGCGUGGAGGCGUUACCCGCAGAAGAAGCACCGGCUAACUCCGUGCCAGCAGCCGCGGUAAUUC